GUACUUACUUUGGCAGCACAUAUACUAAAAUUGAAAUGAUACAGAGAUCAGCAUGGCCCCUGUGUAAAGAUGACAUGCAAAUCCAUGAAGCUUUCCAUAUUUUU
rnacentral:snRNA from 1 species